rnacentral:rRNA from 1 species
UGACCCUAGUUCAGGCCAAGGU